rnacentral:rRNA from 1 species
AGCAGCCGCGGUAAUUCCAGCUCCAAUAGCGUAUAUUAAAGUUGUUGCAGUUAAAAAGCUCGUAGUUGAAUUUCGGAGUUCUUCCGUUAGUCAGGCUAACAAGUCUGUACUAGCGUGUAGAAUUCCUACCUUCUGGGGAACCAUCAUGUUAUUAAUUUAGCGUGGUGGGAAACCAGGACCUUUACCUUGAAAAAAUUAGAGUGUUCAAAGCAGGCUUACGUCUGAAUACAUUAGCAUGGAAUAAUAAAAUAGGACGGUGGUCCUGUUUUGUUGGUUUCUGAAUCACCGUAAUGAUUAAUAGGGAUAGUUGGGGGCAUUAGUAUUCAAUUGUCAGAGGUGAAAUUCUUGGAUUUAUUGAAGACUAACUUCUGCGAAAGCAUUUGCCAAGGAUGGUUUCAUUAAUCAAGAACGAAAGUUAGGGGAUCGAAGACGAUCAGAUACCGUCGUAGUCUUAACCAUAAACUAUGCCGACUAGGGAUCGGACGAUGUUAAAUUUUAUUGACUUG